rnacentral:rRNA from 1 species
GAUGAACGCUAGCUACAGGCUUAACACAUGCAAGUCGAGGGGUAGCAGGGUAGCAAUACCGCUGACGACCGGCGCACGGGUGAGUAACACGUAUCCAACCUACCAUUCACACGGGGAUAGCCUUUCGAAAGAAAGAUUAAUACCCGAUAGUAUAGCGAGAGGGCAUCCUUUUGCUAUUAAAGAAUUUCGGUGUUUGAUGGGGAUGCGUUCCAUUAGAUUGUUGGUGAAGUAACGGCUCACCAAGUCUUCGAUGGAUAGGGGUUCUGAGAGGAAGGUCCCCCACAUUGGAACUGAGACACGGUCCAAACUCCUACGGAAGGCAGCAGUGAGGAAUAUUGGUCAAUGGACGAGAGUCUGAACCAGCCAAGUAGCGUGAAGGAUGAAGGCCCUAUGGGUCGUAAACUUCUUUUAUAGGGGAAUAAAGUGCGGAACGUGUUCCGCUUUGUAUGUACCCUACGAAUAAGGAUCGGCUAACUCCGUGCCAGCCGCCGCGGUAA